CAAAUCAAGCUGCUUUAUACCUGGACACUAGACAGCACGUAGUUCUUUGAAGAUGUCAUUCAUGGAGCAUUUUCUGCAGGAUGGAGUGUGUUAGCACUUCACAACUAUUUUAUCAGUUGGAAACACACACAGGAAUUCCGGCUUGGGAAUGACCAUCAAGUUCCUGGCCACUACAGGAAGGUGUGCAUAAAAAGCACUUCCAAAGCUGGCAGCCUCUACCAGUCCUCUCCAUUCAGCGAGGGAACACAAGGGAAGUACACAUUUGUAUAUAUUGAUGAAACCAAAAUUGGGAGAUGGCCUAGAUGAUAGGCCUGAAGUCAGUCAAUUGAGUAGAGGUGAUGUGGCAGCAGCAACCACGGAGUCUCAAGACGCUUGGCAUUGUGUUCUCUAUUAUAUGAUGGAAGCUACCCUUACCUCUAACCUCAACCGCCAAUGAACCUGGAGGCCUGCAGUAUUUCAAAGUGGGAUGGGAUUGUUGACUCCUCUAAACCAGACCAAACCUUGGAUUUCGUCCCACAGAAAAACAAGAUCAAGAGUACCUGCCUGCUUUACGGUCCAUUAUUACUUUUGGUACGCGCUAGGCCAGUCUCAAACUCGUACCGUGAGUAAUAAUGCACUGUGGCUGUCACUGCCAACGAGGGACAGACCACACCACCAUAUCUUACUUUCACUGUUCUCCAUAUUCCUAUGCAUCUCGUUGUUGUAAAGCAAGAAAUGUGAUGUAUUCAUGAAAACAGUGUUUGAAACUCUAAGGCCUUGUGUGGGGAAAGACAGCAUUUUAAUAUAAUCAUUUGUCUACUUUCAUAAACAGACUAUUCAUUUUACUUAAAUAUUUUGUUGAGUUGUUUAUAUGACAUAUGUUGAAUUUUCUGUACCUUGUGAUUGUAAGCUAUAUAUGCCAAUAGCAUUGUAGGCCUUGUACAUCUACCAAGGCUUCAGUUGAAAUACCCCAACAUUGUUUGUGAUCUGAGCACCACAAUACUUUCUUUGCCUUUACACUGGUUGGUGAAUUCUAAGUAUACCCCCCCCCCCCCCCCACCAUUCUGUUGUUGGGGUAUGCCAACACCGUUCCAAUGCAGAAAAGCUGCUUUUUAACCUACUUAAUAAAAACCAUUUUGAAGGAAAAAAUAUUUUACUCGUAUCGUAAGUAAUUAUAGGUCAUUUUCCAUAGAAAACAUUUGUCAGUUGCUUUAAGAUGACUGCAUUAAGUCACUCUGGAGGAUCAGAGCAUCUGCUAAAUGACUAAAAUGUUAUACAGAGCUGCAGAAUAAAUUCCCUGAGCCUUGUGACUGUU